CUACGUGCCAGCAGCCGCGGUAAUACGUAGGUGGCAAGCGUUAUCCGGAUUUACUGGGUGUAAAGGGCGUGUAGGCGGGAUUGCAAGUCAGAUGUGAAAACCACGGGCUCAACCUGUGGCCUGCAUUUGAAACUGCAGUUCUUGAGUACUGGAGAGGCAGACGGAAUUCCUAGUGUAGCGGUGAAAUGCGUAGAUAUUAGGAGGAACACCAGUGGCGAAGGCGGUCUGCUGGACAGCAACUGACGCUGAGGCGCGAAAGCGUGGGGAGCA
rnacentral:rRNA from 1 species